rnacentral:lncRNA from 1 species
CCAUGCUGGCCCUGAACUCACAGAGACCCACCUGCUUCUGCCUUCUGAGUGCUGGGAUUAGAGAAGAAGAAUGUAUGCUGCUACUGACAAGCAGGGUUAUCAGAUUUGAACAAUGAUUCUACGUAUGAGUCUGAGUGGAAAUGAAGCUCUUUCAAAACUUAGUAACUUCAAUCAAUAUUGCUUCCACCUUCAGACAUACUAUUGGAUGGACUUAGUGACUUGCUAAUCAAUGGAAUGUGGCAGAAGUGAUGCUUGGUGUUUCUGAGAAUGAACCAGAAAAGUCCUUUUUUGGUUUCUCUCUGCUCUGCUUAUGCUUGCCUCCUGGAGUCUGAAUCGCUGGGCAGCACAUCGGAGAAUGGAGAAGGUCAUACUCCAGGGAAGCCCUGGAUAACUACACGGAGAGGAGCAUGUGAACAUCUGCCCCCAUGCAGGGGACGGGCU